rnacentral:lncRNA from 1 species
CAUUGUACGAUCCUUCUCACCAUGGAUCUGGGCGACACAUUGGGAGUGAGGUUUGGGUUUCCUUGGCACUAGGCCCUUGGAUCAUUGUCUACAUCACCAUUCCCAUCAUAUAGUGACUUGCUUUGAUUUGGCGUUCUUAGGAUGAGUGUCGUUGUCACAUAUUGCUAUAUUUGUAUCCCAGUUGGUUUCUCCAUUUUCUUCUACACCCAUUCAUCAUUCAUCUUAUCCCUUUUC